UUCUCUAGGUGUGUUCCCGGAUCAGAGGCCGCGGAGGGCUGUGUCGAAGCAAAGCGGCCGAGAAGCUGCGAGAAGAGUCGUGGUCUCCGCUGUUCAGGAGCGUCUGAGGCUCGGCAUCGUCGCCCGUAGUGACCCGCGCCAGGCCCGCGAUAGGGACCGCCGUGCCCACGUCUUUGCUGCGCCCAUAGACCGAUGGCGGCGGCCGCGCUGAGGGACCCGGCUCAGGUGGGAGCAAAGAGCAGGGGGAAGGAGUCAGGACUGCAAUGCCUGCCAGAGAAGUUGGGUAUCUAUCCUAGAGUGUCAGGUAUCUUGUGUUUGGCCAUACCCGUAACCCUAGGGCGGGAAUCCCACCCGCACCAGUGGAGUGAGGAAGAGGGCACUGUCACCUUUGAAGAUGUGGCCGUAUACUUCUCCUGGGAGGAAUGGGGUCUCCUUGAUGAGGCUCAAAGAUGCCUGUACCGUGAUGUGAUGCUGGAGAACUUGGCUCUUAUAACCUCGCUGGAUGUUUAUCAACACCAGAAGGAGCACUUUGGAGAGAAACAUUUCAGAAGCAGUGUGGGCAAAACAUUGUUUGUGAAGACCUGCACAUUUCAUGUGUCAGGGGAGCCCUUUACCUGCAGGGAAGUUGGGAAGGACUUCCUGGCCAAGUUGGGAUUUGUCCAUCAACAGGCCACUCACACUGGGGAGCAGUCAAAUAGCAUAAGCAAUUGUGGGGCUAUCAGUCACAGUGAAGGAACUCAGCACAACUAUGAAGAAUAUACAAAAGCAGUCAGCCGAAAAUGCAAACUUGUUCAGCAGCGGAGAGCCCUCACUACAGAAAGAUGUUACGUGUGCAGCGAAUGCGGGAAAUCCUUUAGCAAAAGCUACAGCCUCAAUGACCAUUGGAGAGUUCACACUGGAGAAAAGCCUUAUGAGUGUCGGGAAUGUGGGAAAUCCUUUAGGCAAAGCUCUAGCCUCAUUCAGCACCGGAGAGUUCAUACUGGAGUACGACCUCAUGAAUGUGAUGAAUGUGGAAAAUUAUUUAGCAACAAAUCCAACCUCAUUAAACAUUGGAGAGUUCACACUGGAGAAAGGCCAUAUGAGUGCAGUGAAUGUGGGAAGUCCUUUAGUGAAAGCUCUGCACUCCUUCAACACCAGAGUGUUCACACUGGAGAGAGGCCUUAUGAGUGCAGUGAAUGUGGGAAAUUCUUUACAUACCAUUCCAGUCUAAUAAAGCACCAGAAAGUUCAUAGUGGAUCAAGGCCUUAUGAGUGUAGUGAAUGUGGGAAGUCAUUUAGCCAAAACUCCAGCCUCAUUGAACACCGUAGGGUUCAUACUGGAGAAAGACCUUAUAAGUGCAGUGAAUGUGGGAAAUCCUUUAGCCAAAGCUCUGCACUUCUUCAACAUCGGAGAGUUCAUACUGGAGAAAGGCCUUAUGCGUGCAGUGAAUGUGGGAAAUUCUUUACCUACAGCUCCAGUCUCCAGAAACACCAGAGAGUUCACACUGGAUCAAGGCCUUACGAAUGCAGUGAAUGUGGGAAAUCCUUUACUCAAAACUCUAGCCUCAUUAAGCACAGGAGGGUUCACACUGGGGAAAGACCUUAUCAGUGCACUGCAUGUGGGAAGUACUUUAGCCAUAACUCUAGCCUCAUUAAACACCGGAGGAUUCAUAGUCGAUAAAGGCCUUAUGAGUGGCAGAUGUGGAAGAUUAGCACCGUGGAGAAAGUCCUGUAAAUGCAGUGAAUGUGAGGAAACAUUCAGUUGAAGGACUUAUCUCAUUAGGUACACAAAGUUUACGUGGGAAGAACACCUUUGAUAUACAGGGAUAUGCUGUUUCUUUGUUCAGUGUAACAACUCUGAAGGAAAUCCCUUAUGUGAGGGUGCCAUCUGCUUGAAUUCAACCUCAUACAUUGAACAUCCACAUAAAUUCCAGGUAUGUGAGAGCUGCAUUGUACAUUUUACCCUACCCAGGGCUCUUGGUGGAUUGAUGUCAUUGCUAGUUUUGUAGCAGAAGCCAUUUUACCUCUACCAGCUGGCAGGUGCUCACUAUGUGCACCUGAGUUCACCCACGCCAGUGUAUGCAGGGCAUGAACCUGACCCAGUUUGACCCAGAGGACUCUCCUGUUGACAUGGAAAGGUGGACUACCUAUUUUAGAUACUGUUGGUCUUAGAUGACAGUUUUGAUGGACUUUUCCAGCCUCUAAGUCAUCAACUGUGUGAACCACCUGCCUUUCAUUGCCCUGGUUUGUACGAUAAUAAAGGCCUUAU